CGGUAAGACAGAGGAGGCAAGCGUUGUUCGGAAUUAUUGGGCUUAAAGCGGAUGUAGGCGGCUUGGUAAGUGUCCCGUGAAAUCCCACGGCUCAACCGUGGAAUUGCGGGGCAAACUGCCUGGCUUGAGGUCGGUAGAGGCGCCUGGAACUCUAGGUGGAGCGGUGAAAUGCGUAGAUAUCUAGAGGAACGCCAGAGGCGAAAGCGGGGCGCUGGGCCGAUUCUGACGCUGAGAUCCGAAAGCGUGGGGAGCAAACAGGAUUAGAUACCCUGGUAGUCCACGCCGUAAACGAUGCACACUAGGUGGCGGAGUCUCUGACGGCGUCGCCGCCGUAGCAAAAGUGAUAAGUGUGCCGCCUGGGGAGUACGGCCGCAAGGCUAAAACUCAAAGGAAUUGACGGGGGCUCACACAAGCGGUGGAGCAUGUGGCUUAAUUCGAAGCAACGCGAAGAACCUUACCCAGGUUUGACAUGCUUGGAUGCAAUUCCGGGAUAACCGGGAGCGCUGCCCUUCGGGGUGAAACUUGCACAGGUGUUGCACGGCUGUCGUCAGCUCGUGCUGUGAAGUGUCGGGUUAAGUCCCUUAACGAGCGAAACCCCUAUCGUCAGUUGCCAGCGCGUUAUGGCGGGGACUCUAGCGAGACUGCCGGCGUUAAGCCGGAGGAAGGUGGGGACGACGUCAAGUCAUCGUGGCCCUUAUGCCUGGGGAUGCACACGUGCUACAAUGGCUGGGACAGAGGGAAGCAAGACCGCGAGGUGGAGCAAAUCCCAAAAACCCAGCCUCAGUUCGGAUUGCAGGCUGCAAUUCGCCUGCAUGAAGUCGGAAUCGCUAGUAAUCGCGUAUCAGCUACGACGCGGUGAAUGUGUUCCUGAG
rnacentral:rRNA from 1 species